rnacentral:rRNA from 1 species
GGGCGCAGACCUGAUGCAGCGACGCCGCGUGAGGGAUGGAGGCCUUCGGGUUGUAAACCUCUUUUAUCGGGGAGCAAGACUGAGUGAGUUUACCCGUUGAAUAAGCACCGGCUAACUACGUGCCAGCAACCGCGGUAAUACGUAGGGUGCAAGCGUUAUCCGGAAUUAUUGGGCGUAAAGGGCUCGUAUGCGGUUCGUCGCGUCCGGUGUGAAAGUCCAUCGCUUAACGGUGGAUCCGCGCCGGGUACGGGCGGGCUUGAGUGCGGUAGGGGAGACUGGAAUUCCCGGUGUAACGGUGGAAUGUGUAGAUAUCGGGAAGAACACC